CCUGCCCCUAGAGAUGUUGCAGGUGUGGCUCUUGUGUCACAUGCGUCAGUAGGUGGCAGAGAGGUGAAAGGCUAUGUCUAUGCUCAGCGUUCUGACCUAUGAACAUCUGAAUGAUUAGUAGCUUAACAUU